AUUGAACGCUGGCGGAAUGCUUUACACAUGCAAGUCGAACGGUAGAGGGGGCAACCCCUCGAGAGUGGCGAACGGGUGAGUAAUAUAUCGGAACGUGCCCAGUCGUGGGGGAUAACGUAGCGAAAGUUACGCUAAUACCGCAUACGAUCUAAGGAUGAAAGCGGGGGAUCGCAAGACCUCGCGCGAUUGGAGCGGCAGAAAUCAGAUUAGGUAGUUGGUGGGGUACAGGCUCACCAAGCCAACGAUCUGUAGCUGGUCUGAGAGGACGACCAGCCACACUGGAACUGAGACACGGUCCAGACUCCUACGGGAGGCAGCAGUGGGGAAUUUUGGACAAUGGACGCAAGUCUGAUCCAGCCAUUCCGCGUGCAGGAUGAAGGCCCUCGGGUUGUAAACUGCUUUUGUACGGAACGAAAAGGUCUCUCUUAAUACGGGGGACUCAUGACGGUACCGUAAGAAUAAGCACCGGCUAACUACGUGCCAGCCGCCGCGGUAA
rnacentral:rRNA from 1 species